rnacentral:tRNA from 1 species
UACAUUGUGGUGUAAGGGCACGUAAAUUUUUGGAUUUUAAGGAGAAGGUUCAUCACCUUUCGUUGUAA